rnacentral:rRNA from 1 species
CUCGGCAACGGAUAUCUCGGCUCUCGCAUCGAUGAAGAACGUAGCGAAAUGCGAUACUUGGUGUGAAUUGCAGAAUCCCGCGAAUCAUCGAGUCUUUGAACGCAAGUUGCGCCCGAAGCCAUUCGGCCAAGGGCACGUCUGCCUGGGUGUCACGCAUCGUUGCCC